rnacentral:rRNA from 1 species
UAACGCGUGGGAAUCUGCCCUUAGGUACGGAAUAACUCAGGGAAACUUGAGCUAAUACCGUAUAAUGACUCCGGUCCAAAGAUUUAUCGCCUAGGGAUGAGCCCGCGUCGGAUUAGCUAGUUGGUGAGGUAAAGGCUCACCAAGGCGACGAUCCGUAGCUGGUCUGAGAGGAUGAUCAGCCACACUGGGACUGAGACACGGCCCAGACUCCUACGGGAGGCAGCAGUGGGGAAUAUUGGACAAUGGGCGAAAGUCUGAUCCAGCAAUGCCGCGUGAGUGAUGAAGGCCUUAGGGUUGU